rnacentral:rRNA from 1 species
UACGUAGGUGGCAAGCGUUGUCCGGAAUUAUUGGGCGUAAAGCGCGCGCAGGCGGUCCUUUAAGUCUGAUGUGAAAGCCCACGGCUCAACCGUGGAGGGUCAUUGGAAACUGGGGGACUUGAGUGCAGAAGAGGAAAGCGGAAUUCCACGUGUAGCGGUGAAAUGCGUAGAGAUGUGGAGGAACACCAGUGGCGAAGGCGGCUUUCUGGUCUGUCACUGACGCUGAGGCGCGAAAGCGUGGGGAGCAAACAGG